UAUUUGUCUAAGUUCUCCUCCAUUUCAGCUCGCUAUAACCAAAUUCUCUACAAUCUUCUCUGCAAACUGCACUUGCGGUUUCUCUCUCUCUCUCUCUCUCUCUCUCUCUCUCUCUCUCUCUCUCUGCGCGUAUUAACCAUACAUAUACAAUAUACACACACAAAUAUAUCUGAGCUAGCUAUCUGGCCAACCCCACCUCUCUUUCAUUCUUAGCUAUAUAACCAAACUCUACAAUAAGGUUUCUGCAGCUUCUUCUUUGCAAACUGCAAACUGCACGUACGGGGUUCUUACUGAGAAGAUAUAUAUACCUUGAUAUAUAAUUAAUAAGAGAUAUUGAAGAAUGUGGAAGCUUAAGGUUGCAGAUGGAGGGAAUGACCCUUACAUCUACAGCACAAACGACUUUGUGGGGAGGCAGAUAUUUGAGUUUGAUCCUGAGGCAGGAACUCCCGAAGAGCGAGCUGAGGUGGAAGAAGCUCGUCUUAAUUUUUACAAUAAUCGCUAUCAGGUCAAGCCUAGCGGUGACCUCCUAUGGCGUAUGCAGUUCCUAAAAGAGAAGAACUUCAAGCAGACAAUUCCCCCAGUAAAGGUUGAGGGUGGUGAGGAAAUCACAUAUGAAAAGGCCACAGCCUCACUGAGAAGAUCUGUUCACUUCUUUUCAGCCUUGCAGGCAAGUGAUGGCCAUUGGCCUGCUGAAAAUGCUGGCCCAUUGUUUUUCCUUCCUCCUUUGGUCAUGUGUACAUACAUUACAGGGCAUCUUAAUACUGUAUUCCCAGCAGAGCAUCGCAAAGAAAUUCUGCGUUACAUAUACUAUCAUCAGAAUCAAGAUGGUGGUUGGGGAUUACAUAUUGAAGGCCACAGCACCAUGUUCUGCACAGCCCUGAGCUACAUUUGUAUGCGUAUUCUAGGAGAAGGACCUGAUGGAGGCCAGGACAAUGCUUGUGCCAGAGCAAGGAAAUGGAUUCUUGAUCAUGGUAGUGUCACACACAUGCCCUCUUGGGGAAAGACUUGGCUUUCGAUACUUGGCGUGUUUGAGUGGUCUGGAAGCAACCCAAUGCCGCCAGAGUUUUGGAUGCUGCCUUCAUUUCUUCCUAUGCAUCCAGCAAAAAUGUGGUGCUAUUGUAGGAUGGUUUACAUGCCUAUGUCAUAUUUAUAUGGGAAGAGAUUUGUUGGCCCAAUCACGCCUCUCAUUCUGCAAUUGAGGGAAGAACUGUAUGCUCAACCUUAUGAUGAAAUUAAUUGGAAGGGAGUGCGCCAUCUUUGCGCGAAAGAGGAUAUCUACUACCCACACCCUUGGAUACAGGACAUCAUGUGGGAUAGUCUCUACAUAUGUACAGAGCCUCUUCUUACUCGCUGGCCGUUUAACAAAUUGGUCAGAGAAAAAGCUCUUCAAGUAACAAUGAAGCACAUUCAUUAUGAAGAUGAAAACAGCAGAUAUAUUACCAUUGGAUGUGUGGAAAAGGUGUUAUGUAUGCUUGCUUGUUGGGCUGAAGAUCCAAAUGGAGACUAUUUUAAGAAGCAUCUUGCUAGGAUCCCAGAUUAUUUAUGGGUUGCUGAAGAUGGGAUGAAGAUGCAGAGUUUUGGAAGUCAGCAGUGGGAUACUGGUUUUGCCAUUCAAGCUUUGCUUGCUAGCAAUCUCACUGAUGAAAUUGGACCUACGCUUGCUAGAGGACAUGACUUCAUAAAGAAAUCUCAGGUCAAGGACAAUCCAUCUGGUGACUUCAAAAGCAUGCACCGCCACAUUUCUAAAGGAUCAUGGACUUUCUCAGAUCAAGACCAUGGAUGGCAAGUUUCUGAUUGCACCGCAGAGGGUUUAAAGUGUUGCCUGCUGUUAUCGACGAUGCGACCAGAUAUAGUUGGUGAAAAAAUGGAACCUCAGAGGUUAUACGAUUGAGAACUUGCCUCACCUUUUUUCGUAUCAUUGCAGAGUAAGAAUGGGGGUUUAGCAGCCUGGGAACCAGCAGGAGCAGCAGAGUGGUUAGAAAUGUUAAAUCCCACAGAAUUCUUCGCGGACAUUGUGGUCGAGCACGAAUAUGUUGAAUGCACUUCAUCUGCAAUUCAGUCUUUAGUUCUGUUUAAGAAGUUGUAUCCUGGGCACAGGAAAAAAGAGAUUGAUAAUUUCAUUACCAAUGCUACAGAGUACCUUGAAAACAUACAAAUGCCAGAUGGUUCAUGGUAUGGAAAUUGGGGAGUUUGCUUUACAUAUGGUAGCUGGUUUGCCCUUGGAGGGUUAGCAGCUGCUGGAAAGACUUUCAAUAAUUGUUUGACUGUGCGCAAAGGCGUUGACUUUCUACUCACGACACAAAGAGAGAACGGUGGCUGGGGAGAGAGCUAUCUUUCAUGUCCAAAAAAGGAGUACGUUCCUCUCGAAGAAAACCGAUCGAAUUUAGUACACACUGCAUGGGCUAUGAUGGGUCUUAUUCAAGCUGGACAGGCAGAAAGAGAUCCUGCACCUCUUCAUCGUGCAGCAAAGUUGAUUAUCAAUUCUCAAAUGGAAAAUGGCGAUUUUCCCCAACAGGAAAUCACAGGAGUGUUCAUGAAGAACUGCAUGCUACAUUAUGCAGCUUAUAGAAAUAUCUACCCUCUGUGGGCUCUUGCAGAGUACCGCAAGCGGGUUCCAUUGCCUUCGGAAGCCUAAAUCGCUAAUAGUAUUGUGUAGCUCAUCCAACAUGAAGGAUUAAACAUAUAUAUAAGAGCCAAUUGUUGAAAUUUAUUUUUAUGAGAGGGGAUGCUUAGUGAGAAUGACUUUGUACAAAAUACAAAUUUUUCAAUAAAUUUACGACGAAUUACGAUUA